rnacentral:rRNA from 1 species
UACGAAGGGGGCUAGCGUUGUUCGGAUUCACUGGGCGUAAAGGGUGCGUAGGCGGUCGGGUAAGUCUGACGUGAAAUCUUCAAGCUCAACUUGGAAACUGCGUCGGAUACUAUUCGGCUAGAGGAAUGGAGGGGAGACUGGAAUACUUGGUGUAGCAGUGAAAUGCGUAGAUAUCAAGUGGAACACCAGUGGCGAAGGCGAGUCUCUGGACAUUUCCUGACGCUGAGGCACGAAAGCCAGGGGAGCAAACGGG